rnacentral:lncRNA from 1 species
CUUCUGUUUCUUAUUUCAUUCCAGUCUUUCUUUCACCUACUAUGAGCCACACCCACUUAUCGAAAUGGGAUGGCUGCAAUCCCUUUUCUCUCCAUUGAAGAAACUGUGGAUUCGUCUGCAUUCUGCUCAAAAGAAGAGUAAGCUAUCGUCUUUUAACAAUCCCUUGCUUCCGAUUUUCGUUUCGAUUUCAUGACUUUUCUUGCUAGAUCAAUGCUACCAACUUCAAAUAGGCAUCAGUUACCUUUAUUCGUCUCCCCCAUUCUUUCAAACAGAAGCCCAGACUUCCUUGUGCUUUUGAUAGGGUUGGUUUGGCAUGACUUUUGAAAAGUCAAAAGGAGUUUUUGAGACUCAAAAGUAUCUUUUAAACCCGUAUGGCAUGAGUUUUGAAAGUGUUUCUUUUAGUUAGAAGAGUUUUUAGAGGAAGUUGAUCUAAUAUUGGUUUCUCUAAAAACACUUUGGAAAUAGAAAGUACUUUCAAAAAUUAAUUUUUAAUGCAACUUCCUUCAAAAGCUCUUUAGGAAGCAAGAGCAAAAGUCAUAUCGAAUAGGCUCUUAAUAUCAUAUCAAAUACACACACGUAAAUCACAUUUUCAUCCUCUUCAUAUUGUGCAUUUCCAGGGUUUACUAGAGGGCAUUUAUCUAGCUAACUCACUAAAUUUUCACGAUUGAUUUUUCAGGUAGAGGGAUAUAUAUACUGUACGAGGAUGUCAAGUCCUGCCCCUAUGAAGACGUGCAUGUUCUUUGGUCCAUACUGGUGGAAUCACAUCCACGGGCAUUGCCACCACCAAAAUGAUGUUCCCAUGUACAAAGAAACACGACAGGAAUUGGGAGAUUUACAGCCAUGUAUAUAAGAUAGGAACAUCUCCCAAAGUUAAGUUUUGUUUACACAUUUUCGAUUGCAAUUUCUUGCGAGUGAGUUUAUAGAAUGUAAUAAAUUAUUGAUGUUAUCACCACAGAAAUAUGAAUAGUCAACAGCAUAUAAAAAAUGCAAUGUGUUUGCAUGAAUUUUCAGGUCAGACCUAUGAAUUUACUAUACUACUUUCCUGGAUGUAAAGUAAUUAUGUUUUUAAUGUUUUGUGGCUUCUUGUUGAGUUGUCGGUUUCCAGAGGUUGAGUAGCAGUUAUAUGGGUUCUUCACACCUUUCAGAAUUUAACUGAGGCUGAGUCAUGAAAGCUACUGAAUGGAUGUGAUA